rnacentral:rRNA from 1 species
GACGAACGCUGGCGGCGUGCUUAACACAUGCAAGUCGAACGGUGAAGCUCCAGCUUGCUGGAGUGGAUCAGUGGCGAACGGGUGAGUAACACGUGAGCAACCUGCCCCUGACUCUGGAAUAAGCGCUGAAAACGGCGUCUAAUACUGGAUACGAGAAGGGUCCGCAUGGGCACUUUCUGGAAAGUUUUUCGGUUGGGGAUGGGCUCGCGGCCUAUCAGCUUGUUGGUGAGGUAAUGGCUCACCAAGGCGACGACGGGUAGCCGGCCUGAGAGGGCGACCGGCCACAGGGGGAUGGGGAAGGGGCCAGGGCCCCAUGGGGGGGAAGAGGGGGGAAUUUUUCAAAAAGGGGGGAAGGCGGGAGGGAGCGCCGCCGGGGGGGGGAGGACGGCCUUCGGGUUGUAAACCCUUUUCGGGAGGAAAGAAGGGAAAGGGAGGGUCCCGGCAAAAAAAGCACCGGCAAACUACGG